AAGUCGUAACAAGGUUUCCGUAGGUGAACCUGCGGAAGGAUCAUUACAUUCAGUAGCUCGCUACUGUUAGGGAGGCCGGUUAGUCUGUAUAGUAUCACUACUGAUGAGCAGCACGGCCUUCUGUCUGUACCCUUGUCUUUUGCGCACUCAUGUUUCCUCGGCUGGGUUUACGCCCGCCGGCUGGACAACUCUAUAACCUUUUUAAUUUUCAAUCAGCGUCUGAAAAACCUAAUAAUUACAACUUUCAACAACGGAUCUCUUGGUUCUG
rnacentral:misc_RNA from 1 species